rnacentral:rRNA from 1 species
UACGUAGGGUGCGAGCGUUGUCCGGCCUUACUGGGCGUAAAGAGCUCGCAGGUGGUUUGUCGCGUUGUUCGUGAAAACUCACAGCUUAACUGUGGGCGUGCGGGCGAUACGGGCAGACUGGAGUACUGCAGGGGAGACUGGAAUUCCUGGAGUAGCGGUGGAAUGCGCAGAUAACAGGAGGAACACCGGUGGCGAAGGCGGGUCUCUGGGCAGUAACUGACGCUGAGGAGCGAAAGAGUGGGGAACAAACAGG